GACAGAGGGUGCGAGCGUUGUUCGGAAUUACUGGGCGUAAAGAGCUCGUAGGCGGUUUGUCGCGUCUGCCGUGAAAAUCCGGGGCUCAACCCCGGACUUGCAGUGGGUACGGGCAGACUAGAGUGUGGUAGGGGAGACUGGAAUUCCUGGUGUAGCGGUGGAAUGCGCAGAUAUCAGGAGGAACACCGGUGGCGAAGGCAGGUCUCUGGGCCAUUACUGACACUGAGAAGCGAAAGCAUGGGGGAGCGAACAGG
rnacentral:rRNA from 1 species